GUUUCAAUUCCUCAUAGGCAGGCUAUCGGCGGCCGGAAUUGAGUGGAAGGGACGGUUUUAUCCUCCAG
rnacentral:sRNA from 1 species